CUUUAAUUUUGAAAGGUGCUUGCAUCUUGAUUUAAUUUUGAACGAGUGGCGGACGGGUGAGUAACACGUGGGUAACCUGCCCUUAAGUGGGGGAUAACAUUUGGAAACAGAUGCUAAUACCGCAUAAAUCCAAGAACCGCAUGGUUCUUGGCUGAAAGAUGGCGUAAGCUAUCGCUUUUGGAUGGACCCGCGGCGUAUUAGCUAGUUGGUGAGGUAACGGCUCACCAAGGCAAUGAUACGUAGCCGAACUGAGAGGUUGAUCGGCCACAUUGGGACUGAGACACGGCCCAAACUCCUACGGGAGGCAGCAGUAGGGAAUCUUCCACAAUGGACGCAAGUCUGAUGGAGCAACGCCGCGUGAGUGAAGAAGGCUUUCGGGUCGUAAAACUCUGUUGUUGGAGAAGAAUGGUCGGCAGAGUAACUGUUGUCGGCGUGACGGUAUCCAACCAGAAAGCCACGGCUAACUACGUGCCAGCAGCCGCGGUAAUACGUAGGUGGCAAGCGUUAUCCGGAUUUAUUGGGCGUAAAGCGAGCGCAGGCGGUUUUUUAAGUCUGAUGUGAAAGCCCUCGGCUUAACCGAGGAAGUGCAUCGGAAACUGGGAAACUUGAGUGCAGAAGAGGACAGUGGAACUCCAUGUGUAGCGGUGAAAUGCGUAGAUAUAUGGAAGAACACCAGUGGCGAAGGCGGCUGUCUGGUCUGUAACUGACGCUGAGGCUCGAAAGCAUGGGUAGCGAAACAGGAUUAGAUACCCUGGUAGUCCAUGCCGUAAACGAUGAAUGCUAGGUGUUGGAGGGUUUCCGCCCUUCAGUGCCGCAGCUAACGCAUUAAGCAUUCCGCCUGGGGAGUACGACCGCAAGGUUGAAACUCAAAGGAAUUGACGGGGGCCCGCACAAGCGGUGGAGCAUGUGGUUUAAUUCGAAGCAACGCGAAGAACCUUACCAGGUCUUGACAUCUUUUGAUCACCUGAGAGAUCAGGUUUCCCCUUCGGGGGCAAAAUGACAGGUGGUGCAUGGUUGUCGUCAGCUCGUGUCGUGAGAUGUUGGGUUAAGUCCCGCAACGAGCGCAACCCUUAUGACUAGUUGCCAGCAUUUAGUUGGGCACUCUAGUAAGACUGCCGGUGACAAACCGGAGGAAGGUGGGGAUGACGUCAAAUCAUCAUGCCCCUUAUGACCUGGGCUACACACGUGCUACAAUGGAUGGUACAACGAGUUGCGAGACCGCGAGGUCAAGCUAAUCUCUUAAAGCCAUUCUCAGUUCGGACUGUAGGCUGCAACUCGCCUACACGAAGUCGGAAUCGCUAGUAAUCGCGGAUCAGCACGCCGCGGUGAAUACGUUCCCGGGCCUUGUACACACCGCCCGUCACACCAUGAGAGUUUGUAACACCCGAAGCCGGUGGCGUAACCCUUUUAGGGAGCGAGCCGUCUAAGGGGGGGA
rnacentral:rRNA from 2 species